rnacentral:rRNA from 1 species
AUUGAACGCUGGCGGCAGGCCUAACACAUGCAAGUCGAGCGGAUGAAGGGAGCUUGCUCCUGGAUUCAGCGGCGGACGGGUGAGUAAUGCCUAGGAAUCUGCCUGGUAGUGGGGGAUAACGUCCGGAAACGGGCGCUAAUACCGCAUACGUCCUGAGGGAGAAAGUGGGGGAUCUUCGGACCUCACGCUAUCAGAUGAGCCUAGGUCGGAUUAGCUAGUUGGUGGGGUAAAGGCCUACCAAGGCGACGAUCCGUAACUGGUCUGAGAGGAUGAUCAGUCACACUGGAACUGAGACACGGUCCAGACUCCGACGGGAGGCAGCAGUGGGGAAUAUUGGACAAUGGGCGAAAGCCUGAUCCAGCCAUGCCGCGUGUGUGAAGAAGGUCUGCGGAUUGUAAAGCACUUUAAGUUGGGAGGAAGGGCAGUAAGUUAAUACCUUGCUGUUUUGACGUUACCAACAGAAUAAGCACCGGCUAACUUCGG